UCCCCAUUCUCGUUCUCCUCUCUGCUCGCCCCGUGUUAACGUCCCUUCCCGAUCUCCACUGCUGAUUCAACCUUGUCGGGGGCGAGCGGUCCGGCGAAAAUCCGUGGCGGAGUAUCCCUGGUCGGUUCGAGUAGUGGUAGACCAGUUUGGUCGAUGCGGAGAAGCGGAUCAAGGCGUUCGGGCGCGGCUGUGGCCGUGCUGGGAGGGUCCCUUCGACGGCAGGGCGCCGCCAAUCCGACGAUUCUGAGGCGGCGCGAGGUCCUUGGUGAAGGAUCUUCGCCGCUGCUCCGGGAUUCGACGCUAUUGCGGCGUCGCGGCCGUCGCUGUAGUAGUGGUUAAAGGAGAGCAUCCGCGUCGGGGUGCUGGUGACUCCCUGGCGAGUCCUUCGUUCCUCUCUGAUUUUCUACAUGCACAUGUUGAUUUUGGGGGCGGCGUUUGCUCGACGCGAGUUCGAUUUUGGUCAUGGCGGUGCUAAUUUCUUCUGUACCCAUGUUUUUGCUCGUCUAAAUCAGCUGUGCUCGAUUUUUACCCGCGGAUGAGGAUGAUCUAGUUGUUCUGUGUGCGGGAAUUAGGUUCUCUUGUAGUAGCCACAGAGCCGUGCGUCCAUGUAGUGUUUAGAUUGCUAUAUGUCCAGUUCAGCGUAUCUGUACUUUGGACAUUCGAACUUUUUCAGGUAUAUGUUAAUUGUAGGAUGUACAAUUUUGGUAGUUUAUACAUCCUUGGCAUAUUGGAAGUAGUAUGUGUACGCUUGUAGGAUGUAUCUCUAUACACUUUUUCGUUUGUAUAAAUCAGAAGAAAUUGCUGGAACUGCUUUUGUCAUCCCACUGGAUGUAUAUUUGAACAAUUUAUACAUCUUAGAAUUAUUAGUUAGUUUAUUUAUGCGACACAUGUAGAUGUAUUUUUUUGUCACCCAACAUCGAUUUGUAAGCUGAGUACUCACGGUCAAACUGUCUCGCUAUGUGUAUCCGCUUCUCCUCACAUGCUCUUGUACUUACAUACAAAUCGAUGUUGGGUGUCUGGUUCAGUUUCUUUUUGUUCGGAGGUGUUAGUUCAUGGAAGAUAGAGUAGCUUUUCAAUCUUAAUCAUGCUACUGUAAUUGUGCAAUAUGUUAGUUUUUGGUAAUAAUUAGAUCCUGGGCAUAUGGGUCUUCAGAUUGUCCGCUCAUAGGAUGUAUAUUUUCCAUCCUGAGCAUAUGGUUAUAUGGGUUUUCAGAUUGUUCUGUCCUUUUUUUCAAGAACCCGCAGAAGAUCUACGCGUCAUUUCAUUAAGAUAGAGGAAAAAGAGUUUUACAGAGAAAACAGGCCAAGAAGAAGCCCCACUCCACCAUACUGCGAACGGCAGCGACAAAGCCUAGGCUAAACCCCUCCCGAAUGCCCACACCUAGAAGAUAACCACACAGCCCAGUUCUGCAAAACAGCGGCAAGGAUGCGGGCGGCCAGUGUGUCGACCUUAUUGAAGACUCUCGCAUUCCGCUCUAGCCACAGGGUACGCAUGACAAGCAUGAUCGCGGAGUUGGCAACCUUGGCCUCGGCCCGGGAGAGGUGGGCGACUGCAUCCGGCCACCACUUGUUGAUCGAGCUGUCCAUCCCAGGUGCUUGAAGAGGGAACGGAAGGAUGUUGAGGAACCCGACCCAAAUGCACUGUGCGAAAGGGCACCGCAGGGACAAGUGGUCGAGGGUCUCCGCGUCAAGAUUGCAUAAGGGGCAAACGACAUGAGUUGGAAGCCCACGCCGAAGAUUACGAUCCACGGUCCAACAGCGGCCUCUCAAAGCAAGCCAAGCAUGAAACUUGAACUUGAAAGGCACGAAGGAAUUCCACACCUGGGACGCCCCAGGCAGCGCCGUGGUGCCAUGAAAGAACACCCGGUACGCGGAUCUCGAGGAGAAGGCACCAUCCUCCGUCCACUUCCAACGGAAGCUAUCAGGCUGGGCGGAAAGGGAAACCCGGUUGACGGCGUCCCAGAGCUUGAAGAUUGUUCUGUCCUUGUUCUAUAUGGAACCUUCAUGCACCCCUAAAAUCAUUUCGAAGGCUAGCCAGUCUAAAUAUAGUAAGAUGAGGCUCAAAUCUAUUUCUUGCGUAAGCUCCUUCCGGUCUUAGGCGGUGCUCACCUUUCAGACGCGUCGGAUCGGGAUCGGGCGGACAUAACUAAGCGGUGCAUAUGUACAAAUAACCGACUUCGUCUUUUCCAUUUACUUUUUGCCUGGACUGUUCAAUUUUGGUAACCGAGCUUGUCACCCAUUCCCCUCCCUUCUCUCGUCGCCCACUCCAUCUCCCCCAACGAAUCCCUCUCGUCGGCGGUGAGUUUUUCAUUGGGAAAUAGCGGAGAGGUUUUGCUGACAUGUUGGGGUAGUGUUGUAGGUCUGCCUACGGCACAGACGAAUGGAUUGACUCUACCGCCUAUAUCGAAUUCAUCUAUUUCUACUUUUCUGAAAUAGCUUAUUAUGUAAAAAUUGCUAGUCUUGUUACUGAAUUUCUGUUUAUACAGUACAACACCAAUUAUAUCUUACUAACAUGUAUACUUGUCACUUUGUUACAGUUAAUAAACCAUGGCGAUCUACACUUGGAGAAAGCAGAACACUAAGAAAGUACAUCCAGUUCUUAUCCGUGCACAAAGUUGGAAAGGGUUCGUUUGAUUUCGGAUCAGUUUUCGUCUGUACACUUUGACCAUCUUUAGUGUAGUUGGAGUUAGGAUCUUUACAUUGUAUGCAUCUAUUGCUUUGGUGCGCCUGGUGGAGUAAAUCUAGUGCUUCUCCAAAAAAAUUGCAUGUAAUUUUUGGUUCUAAGUGGGCGCACUCUGCCGUGCCGAAAACUAAGCGAGAAAAAGUGGUCCUAGGCCACAUUUACUCUUC